rnacentral:rRNA from 1 species
GGUUUCUUGAUUAUAUUUAAGAAAUUUAACCUGCCCACUGAAAUAUUUUUGAAGGGCCGCAGUAUUUUGACUGUGCAAAGGUAGCAUAAUCAUUAGUCUUUUAAUUAAGGGCUGGUAUGAAUGGUUGGACGAGGUAAAUUCUGUUUUAUAUUAAUUGAAAUUGAAUUUAGAUUUUAAGUUAAAAUACUUAAAUGUUAUUAAGGGACGAGAAGACCCUAUAGAGUUUAAUAAGUUAAAUAAUUAAUUGAGUUAAUAAUUAAUUUUUAGUUUUUAUGGAUCUUAUUUAAUUGGGGUGAUUAAAAGAUAUAAAUAACUCUUUUUUGAUAUUAAUAUUAUUAGUAGCUUUAUGAUCCAUUAAUAAUGAUUAAAAGAUUAAAUUACCUUAGGGAUAACAGCAUAAUUUUUUUUGAGAGUUCAUAUCGAAAAAAGAGAUUGUGACCUCGAUGUUGGAUUAAGAUUAGUUUUGGGUGCAGAUGUUCAUAAACUAGGUCUGUUCGACCUUGAAAAUCUUACA